AAUCAAGUCUAGGUUGAGUUGCUAUGUACGCAACUCUAUUUCCUAUUUCACUAGCUUCAGAAUUCCUCCCUUUUUCUUCUUCAUGGAGUUUGCCAGCAGCAUUGCGGAUGACGUCUUGGGUAGGCUAGCUUCACAUGCUUCCCAACAGAUCUCCUUGGCAUGGGGUGCCCAACUUAAGCUCAGCAAGCUCAACAACACCUUAUCUGCCAUCAAAUUAGUGCUCGAGGAUGCAGAGAAGAAGCAAGUGAGAAAUCCCCUAAUCACUCGUUGGUUAGGAAAUCUCAAAGAUGUUUGUCAUGACGUUGAUGAUGUCUUGGACGAACUGGACUUCCAAAAGCUGCGGUUGAAAGUGGAGGUCGACAACUGUGGGAAGAUCAAAGGAAAGGUACGCCAAUUUUUUUCCCGAUGGAAUACAGUAGUGUUUAACUUCAAAAUAGGACAUAAAGUGAAAGAGAUUAGAGAAAGACUAGUUGAAAUUGAUAAUGAACACAGACAGUUUGCUCUCCUUGAGUUUGCUAAGAUAGCUGAAGAUCCUCGUGCGCCCCAUCAAGUGCACGAUGACAGGAGGAUGACUACCUCUAAAGUUGAGGCUUCAAAUGUUAUUGGAAGAGAUGAUGAUAAAAAACAGAUUAUCAAGCAUCUCUUGAAUGACACUGAUUUCUCCAGUGAGGAGAAUGUUUCUGUUGUUUCCAUAAUUGGGUUAGGAGGGUUGGGGAAAACAACACUUGCUAAAUUGGUGUACAAUGAUAGCAUGGUAGAAGAAAAUUUUGAGACAAAGAUGUGGAUAUGCGUCUCAAACAACUUUGAUAUUCAAACAUUAAUUCGAGGUAUUACUAAUGCUGCAAAUGGACCAAAAUGUGAGGAUGAAAGUUUGGAUCUUUUGGAAAGAAAAUUGCAAGAUACUCUUAGAGGUAAAAAAAUUUUAUUGGUGUUGGACGAUAUUUGGGAUACAGAGUCGAUUGGAGUAACAAUUGAAAAAUGGAUUGAUUUAAAAACUUUGUUAAAUGUGGGAGCUAAUGGAAGCAAAAUCAUUAUAACAACAAGAAAUAAAUCAGUCGCUUUACUUGUGAGUCCCUUAUACAUGCAUUCUUUAAAAAGUCUUUCCCACAAAGAUUGCAUGUCCUUGUUCAUCCAAAGGGCAUUUAAAAAAGGAGAGGAGCAGUGCUAUCAACAUUUGAUAGAAAUUGGAGAGGAUAUUGUGAAGAAGUGUGGUGGUGUUCCUUUAGCGGUAACUACUGUAGGGAGCAUGCUCUAUUUGAAUAGAGAGCAACACCAUUGGUUGCGUGUCAGAGAUGAUGACAUGUGGAGUAUAGGGAAUGACAAUAUUUUACCUGCACUCAAAUUGAGCUAUGAUGCACUGCCACAACACUUGAAACCGUGUUUUGCAUUUUGUUCACUUUUCCCAAAGGAUUAUGAAUUCGACAGUGGCUUCUUGGUUCCAUUGUGGAUAGCACAAGGAUACCUCAAAACAUGUAAGAAAAAUGAAGAUUUUGAACAUAUGGGUAUAGAGUAUAUAAGACAGUUUUGCUCUAGAUCUUUGUUUCAAGUUGAGAUAGAUGUCAAAACAUUUAUAAGUUUUAAAAUACAUGAUCUAGUUCAUGAUUUAGCAAUUUCAGUGGCACAAGUAGAGUACUCCACAAUCAAUUUCCGUCCCUCUAGUGCUUUGGAAAUGGUUCGACAUGUGUCAAUAUCCAAAAAAGACUUGCUUAGAGAAGAGGCAGUUUCCUAUUUCAUGCUCAAGUCAAAGAAAUUGCGAACCAUUCUAGUUCUUGAAGAUGCCCAGAUAGAUCAAUGUUUUGUGAAAACAUGCAUCUCGAGAUUUAAAUAUAUGCGGGUGCUAAAUCUCUGGGGGUCGCCUCUAGAGGAGCUACCAAGUUCUAUUGGUAGUUUGUUUCAUUUGAGAUUCCUCAACUUGUCUGGUAAUAGUGAGAUAAAAAGGCUUCCCAAUUCCAUCAGUAAGCUGCUGAAUUUGGAGACCUUGCACCUUCACAAGUGCGACGCACUUGAGGAGAUACCCAAAGACAUAGGCAACCUGAUCAACCUACGAAGCUUGACGAUAACAACGCAACAGACGUAUUUGCCCAAAGGAAUUAGACGCCUCACCUUACUUCAAUCUUUACAUUUUCAUGGAUGUGUCAAUCUUGAAUCUUUGGGCGAAGAGAUCCAAUUCCUCAACAACCUUCGCACUUUGUGGAUUAGCAGGUGUAAUAAUUUGGAAUCCUUGCCACCAAAUAUGAAACAUAUGACCGCUUUAGAUACUUUGCUUAUCGAUGAUUGCGAGAAGCUUCAGGUGAUGAUGAGAUCAGGGAAAGGUCCCCAACGUCUUCGAUCAUUGAUUAUCGCGGAUUCAAGUUUGGAGGCUUUGCCCCCUUGGCUCAUUGAACAUUCUGCAGACACUCUACAGAGCAUAUAUCUUUCUGAAUGUCAUAAUCUCACGGCACUUCCGGAGUUGAUAAACUUCCGAUUCCUCGAGCAACUACACACUGAAAAAUGCUCCAAAUUGUCGGCUUUGCCGCAAGGGUUGCAUUGCCUUACUGAGUUGAGAGGAUUGAAGAUUGGAGGGUGUCCUGAAUUGAGCAAAAGCUGCAAAAGGCAAUUAAAAGGUGAGGAGUGGUCAAAGAUGGCAUGUCAGGUGAAGAUUACACUCGACGCUGAUGAUGAAGAAGAUGAAGCCGACAAUCGCUUGGCCGACGGUAGGAUCGCGUACCUCACAACGCGCCACCCGCGACGACGGCGUUAGUCACCUCAAUUCGUCGUCUCCAGACAUCUUUCCAAUGCCUAUUGAACAAGCAAGGAGGAAAACUAGCUGCUUGGUAGUACCCGUUUACCCGUUUGUUCCAAUCAGGGUACUUCAAAAUGAAGAAGUCCUGCACUGCUGUAUUGUUCGAGCUUGGAGUAGCUUGGAUUGGUCAAAGAUGGCACGUCAGGCGAAGAUUACACGACUCUUAUGUGGAUACUGAUGAUGAAGAAGAUGAAGAUGAAGGUACACCAAUGAUCGACUGAAGAUGAAGAAGAUGAAGGCACACCAAUGAUGAAGAAGAUGAAGCUGAAGGUACACCAAUGAUGGACUGAAGAUGAAGAAGAUGAAGGCACACCAAUGAUGAAGAAGAUGAAGCUGAAGGUCAAGGAGUCCGCCUCCAAUCCCUCGCGUACCUCCCACCGCGCCACCCGCGACGACGCCGCGAUAUGGAGUAUUGAAUUGCUGCAAUUUGUGAGAAUUUUGGUGAUUUGUGUGCUGAUUGGUGAUUGCUUGGUGAAGCUGGAAUAGGGGAGGGAGCACUUAGAGGCGUAGAGUAUCCCUGCUGGGUUUGGAAUCAGGUCAGUGGAAGAAGAGGGCUGCUAUCUAUAAGGUGUACACUGUGGAGGGGAAGCUGAAAGGGACUCUCAGGAAGAGCUUCAGGUGGCUCAAGGAGACCUGUGAUAGAGUGGUCUACAGCCGCUUGCAUUGGGUGAGUUUUUUGGGGUACAGCAGCUGACUACAUUGUAACUACUGGGUUUUCGAAAGCAUUUGAGUUGAAUUAGGAUUUACCUGAUUCCAGGAAAGAGAUCCAUCUACUGAUUUCAGAGAUGCUGGAUUUAUUCUUUGGAGAACCUCCUUUUUUUAGCAAAUACAUUUUCGACAUCUUUCCAAUGCCUAUUGAACAAGCGAGGAAAACUAGCUGCUUGGGAAUAUAUCCAUUUGUUCCAAUCAGGGUGCUUCAAAAUGAAGAAGUCCUGCGCUGCUGUAUUGUUCGAGCUUGGAUUGGUCAAAGAUGGCACGUCAGGUGAAGAUUACACUCGACUCUUAUGUGGAUACUGAUGAUUAAGAAGACGAAGAUGAAGGUAGACCAAUGAUCGACUGAGAGAUGAAGAAGAUGAAGGCACACAAUGAUGAAGAAGAUGAAGCUGAAGGUCAAGAAGGAGCUUUCAAUGACAAUACCAAAUCAACUGAUACUUAGGCUUUCCAGCAAAAGCAUGACUGCCGCCAUUGGAGGUGCUUCAAAGUGAAAAAGUCCUGCACUGCUGUAUUGUUUAUUUGUUUUAUGCUUGGAUCAUGUUCGAGCUUGGAAUUAGAGAGAUGUUGAUGAACUCAAAAGUGAUGUGUGAUAAAGCAAUGAGAUUGUUUGAGUAGCUUCAUUUGUGA